GCAAGUCGAACGGAAACGAUGGAAGCUUGCUUCCAGGCGUCGAGUGGCGGACGGGUGAGUAAUGCUUAGGAAUUUGCCCAGUAGUGGGGGACAACCCGGGGAAACUCGGGCUAAUACCGCAUACGCCCUACGGGGGAAAGUGGAGGAUCUUCGGACUUCACGCUAUUGGAUAAGCCUAAGUCGGAUUAGCUUGUUGGUGAGGUAAAAGCUCACCAAGGCGACGAUCCGUAGCUGGUCUGAGAGGACGAUC
rnacentral:rRNA from 1 species